GGCUUCGUGGCCUAGUGGUUAGGGCAUCCCGCUUGUAGAUCUACCCAUGGGGUGGUGCUAUAACGGGGGGAUCACGCGUUCGAUCCGCGUCGGAGCCU